rnacentral:ncRNA from 1 species
GCUCUGGAGAAGCUCACAUUCGCUGUGAGGGCCGAAGGUGCAAGGUGCCGGGCAAGGCGCCAAAUCUCUCAGGCAAAAGGACAGGGC